GAGGGAAAGGCGAAAAGAACCCCGGCGAGGGGAGUGAAAAAGAACCUGAAACCGUGUACGUACAAGCAGUAGGAGCCCCAUCACUCAAGUGCCUCGCACUGAGUGAUGCAAGAACAUCACCGAAAAUAGCGCCGAAUUUGCUAACAAGGUUGGUCGAUUUUUUCAAGCCGUCGCGCAGUGUACCUAGAAGUACACGAGCAACGGAAGUUAAAAAAUCGGGCAAGAUUGAACGCAAAGGCAAGCGGGACAUUUGAGGAUGGGGUGACUGCGUACCUUUUGUAUAAUGGGUCAGCGACUUAUAUUCUGUAGCAAGGUUAACCGCAUAGGGGAGCC
rnacentral:rRNA from 1 species